rnacentral:rRNA from 1 species
AUUGAACGCUGGCGGCAUGCCUUACACAUGCAAGUCGAACGGCAGCACGGGGGCAACCCUGGUGGCGAGUGGCGAACGGGUGAGUAACAUAUCGGAACGUGCCCUGGAGUGGGGGAUAACUAGUCGAAAGACUAGCUAAUACCGCAUACGAUCUACGGAUGAAAGUGGGGGAUCGCAAGACCUCAUGCUCGUGGAGCGGCCGAUAUCUGAUUAGCUAGUUGGGGGGUAAAGGCCUACCAAGGCAUCGAUCAGUAGCUGGUCUGAGAGGACGACCAGCCACACUGGGACUGAGACACGGCCCAGACUCCUACGGGAGGCAGCAGUGGGGAAUUUUGGACAAUGGGCGCAAGCCUGAUCCAGCAAUGCCGCGUGAGUGAAGAAGGCC